AGUGAACGCUGGCGGUAGGCCUAACACAUGCAAGUCGAACGGCAGCACAGUAAGAGCUUGCUCUUACGGGUGGCGAGUGGCGGACGGGUGAGGAAUACAGCGGAAUCUACUUUUUCGUGGGGGAUAACGUAGGGAAACUUACGCUAAUACCGCAUACGCCCUACGGGUGAAAGCAGGGGAUCUUCGGACCUUGCGCGAUUGAAUGAGCCGAUGUCGGAUUAGCUAGUUGGCGGGGUAAAGGCCCACCAAGGCGACGAUCCGUAGCUGGUCUGAGAGGAUGAUCAGCCACACUGGAACUGAGACACGGUCCAGACUCCUACGGGAGGCAGCAGUGGGGAAUAUUGGACAAUGGGCGCAAGCCUGAUCCAGCCAUACCGCGUGGGUGAAGAAGGCCUUCGGGUUGUAAAGCCCUUUUGUUGGGAAAGAAAAGCAGCAGGUUAAUACCCCGCUGUUCUGACGGUACCCAAAGAAUAAGCACCGGCUAACUUCGUG
rnacentral:rRNA from 1 species